CACCGGCAGGCCCCCUCUGACGGCAGCCCCCAGAGGCCAGCACACACGAGUGGACGAGGAGCAGUAGGCCAGGGAAGUCCUGCAGAGGAGACGGCCCGGACCUCCACCACUCGUCCUUCCUCUUCCAUACCCGGCUUGGCUCCCAGGCAGGUCUUCUGCGGCACGAUUGCCCACUGGGGCACCUCUCUGUGGCUGCCCUGGUGCCACAGGUGUGGAGCAGCUUCCCUGGCUCCCUCGCAGGUUCCGGUCAUCCCCAGCACGGCCACAUGUCCUCAGAGGCUCAGAACUUGAGGGCAAGUCCGAGGGAGGCCUUCUCUCCCCUCCUCCGGCUGCCGUCCCCUCUUCCUCUUGCCUCUGUCAAUGCAGGACAGGCUGUUAGAGGUCCGGCGCGAUGUGUGUGCAUGCUCCCUGGCCCAGGAGGCUGCCUCCCCCGGGGAUGGCCGAGGACAGGCGGUUCGCCAGCCCUCUCCUCAGCUCUUCCUGGCACUUUUGCUCUGUGCCUUGGAGAGGCCUCUGGCAGUCCUGGCCUUGACCCAAGGAGCCGCUGCUGGCGGGGCCAGGAGGAGGCCCUCCCCCUGCUGCCGCAGCUUCCAGAUCCAGGAAGUUGGAUCUCUGCAGAAACGGCGCCUGGACCCGGUGAUUGUCAAACCAGAGGCCUCCCCGAUGGCAGAGGAGAAGCAAGCUUUUUAUGAUAUUGCUAAAAUAUCAGUGUUUGCAAAGGUUGCUACAGAAACACGCGGAGUGAGCACAGACUCUGAAAUAGACCGUCUAGACGCACUCCUACUGUCUGACCUUUGAUGUGCUCCUAAUCCCCGACCUGGCCAGCCAGGGGUGACUAAGCAGCGAUUCACGUUACAUACUCUCGUGGGGCCCCACAGGGCCUGGGCUGCUGCUAUAAAUUUCAGUCUGGCUGCUCCACGGAGCGGCCGCCCUCCCGACACGCCUCCCGUGUGGUUUCUGAGUUGUGAU
rnacentral:lncRNA from 1 species